rnacentral:lncRNA from 1 species
AAGCAUUAAGAGCAAAUCUGACAGGAAGUAAAAUUGUUGAUCAGGCACGAUCUAUCUGCCCUGGAAUUUUCAGAUGAAUCGGAUAAUCGGUUGUUAGGUUGCUGCCCCUGAAUUGGUAAUUUUGAGGAAAUUUUGCUGUUUUUUUGUUAUUAUCUUGAAUAUUAUUAUAGAUAGAGAUAAACUGUAAACAGCAAUAAUGUACAGCAAAGUAAGAACUAAAAAUAAGUCAGUAUGACCAAAAAAGUCAAUUGACCCCCUAAGGAGUAAUUGCCCUUCAUAGUCAAUUUUUAACAAUUUUCUUAAAAUUUGAAGAUUUUCAAUAACAUUUUCCACAGAAAGUACUGUUAUAGAUAGAGAUAAUUGUAAGCAGCA